rnacentral:rRNA from 1 species
AGAGUUUGAUCCUGGCUCAGAUUGAACGCUGGCGGCAGGCCUAAUACAUGCAAGUCGAACGGUAACUGGAGAAAAGCUUGCUUUUCUUGCAGACGAGUGGCGGACGGGUGAGUAAUAUUUGGGAAGCUACCUGAUAGAGGGGGACAACAGUUGGAAACGACUGCUAAUACCGCAUAUAGCCUGAGGGUGAAAGCAGCAAUGCGCUAUCAGAUGCGCCCAAACGGGAUUAACUAGUAGGUGAGGUAAAGGCUCACCUAGGCGACGAUCUCUAGCUGGUCUGAGAGGAUGAUCAGCCACAUUGGGACUGAGACACGGCCCAGACUCCUACGGGAGGCAGCAGUAGGGAAUAUUGCACAAUGGGGGAAACCCUGAUGCAGCCAUGCCGCGUGUGUGAAGAAGACCUUCGGGUUGUAAAGCUCUGUCUUCAGGGACGAUAAUGACGGUACCUGAGGAGGAAGCCACGGCUAACUACGUGCCAGCAGCCGCGGUAAUACGUAGGUGGCGAGCGUUGUCCGGAUUUACUGGGCGUAAAGGGAGCGUAGGCGGAUUUUUAAGUGAGAUGUGAAAUACUCGGGCUUAACCUGAGUGCUGCAUUUCAAACUGGAAGUCUAGAGUGCAGGAGAGGAGAAGGGAAUUCCUAGUGUAGCGGUGAAAUGCGUAGAGAUUAGGAAGAACACCAGUGGCGAAGGCGCUUCUCUGGACUGUAACUGACGCUGAGGCUCGAAAGCGUGGGGAGCAAACAGGAUUAGAUACCCUGGUAGUCCACGCCGUAAACGAUUAAAAGGGGUGUAGGGGUUGUCAUGACCUCUGUGCCGCCGGCUAACGCAUUAAGUAUUUCCGCUUGGGGAGUACGGUCGCCAAGAUUAAAACUCAAAAGAAAUUGACGGGGGGCCCGCACAAGCAGCGGAGCAUGUGGUUAAUUUCGAAGCAACGCGAAGAACCUUACCUAGACUUGACAUCUCCUGCAUUACUCUUAAUCGAGGAAGUCCCUUCGGGGACAGGAUGACAGGUGGUGCAUGGUUGUCGUCAGCUCGUGUCGUGAGAUGUUGGGUUAAGUCCCGCAACGAGCGCAACCCUUAUUGUUAGUUGCCAUCAUUAAGUUGGGCACUCUAGCGAGACUGCCCGGGUUAACCGGGAGGAAGGUGGGGAUGACGUCAAAUCAUCAUGCCCCUUAUGUCUAGGGCUACACACGUGCUACAAUGGUCGGUACAAUAAGACGCAAGCCCGCGAGGGGGAGCAAAACUGGAAAACCGAUCUCAGUUCGGAUUGUAGGCUGAAACUCGCCUACAUGAAGCUGGAGUUGCUAGUAAUCGCGAAUCAGCAUGUCGCGGUGAAUACGUUCCCGGGCCUUGUACACACCGCCCGUCA